CGGCCGCGUCGACUAAAGGCUGUGGCUUAACCAUAGUACGCUUUGGAAACUGUUUAACUUGAGUGCAGAAGGGGAGAGUGGAAUUCCAUGUGUAGCGGUGAAAUGCGUAGAUAUAUGGAGGAACACCGGUGGCGAAAGCGGCUCUCUGGUCUGUAACUGACACUCAGGGACGAAAGCUAGGGGAGCGAAUGGGAUUAGAUACCCCAGUAGUCCUAGCCGUAAACGAUGGAUACUAGGUGUUGUCUGUAUCGACCCGGACAGUGCCGUAGCUAACGCGUUAAGUAUCCCGCCUGGGGAGUACGCACGCAAGUGUGAAACUCAAAGGAAUUGACGGGGCCCGCACAAGCGGUGGAGUAUGUGGUUUAAUUCGAUGCAACGCGAAGAACCUUACCAGGACUUGACAUGUCGCGAAUCCAG
rnacentral:rRNA from 1 species